rnacentral:rRNA from 1 species
AUUGAACGCUGGCGGCAUGCCUUACACAUGCAAGUCGAACGGUAACGGGCCUUCGGGUGCCGCCGAGUGGCGGACGGGUGAUUAAUACUUCGUAACGUGCCCGCUCGUGGGUGUUAACGCGGCGAAAGCUUUGCUUAUCCCGCAUUCGAUCUACGGAUGAAAGCAGGGGUCUGCAAGGUCUUGCGCGGUCGGAGCGGCCCAUGGCAGAUUAGGUAGUUGGUGGGAUUAAAGCUUACCAAGCCGACGAUCUGUAGCUGGUCUGAGAGGAUGAUCAGCCACACUGGGACUGAGACACGGCCCAGACUCCUACGGGAGGCAGCAGUCGGGAAUUUUGGACAAUGGGCGCAAGCCUGAUCCAGCCAGGCCGCGUGGAGGAUGAAGGCCUUCGGGUUGUGAACUGCGUUUGUACGGAGCGAAAAGACUUCUUGUAAUACAGGAGGGUCAUGACGGUACCGUAAGAAUAAGCACCGGCUAAAUACGUG